rnacentral:rRNA from 1 species
CUUGACAUCCAGAGAAUUUAGCAGAGAUGCUUUAGUGCCUUCGGGAACUCUGAGACAGGUGCUGCAUGGCUGUCGUCAGCUCGUGUUGUGAAAUGUUGGGUUAAGUCCCGCAACGAGCGCAACCCUUAUCCUUUGUUGCCAGCACGUAAUGGUGGGAAACUCAAAGGAGACUGCCGGUGAUAAACCGGAGGAAGGUGGGGAUGACGUCAAGUCAUCAUGGCCCUUACGAGUAGGGCUACACACGUGCUACAAUGGCGUAUACAAAGAGAAGCGACCUCGCGAGAGCAAGCGGACCUCAUAAAGUGCGUCGUAGUCCGGAUUGGAGUCUGCAACUCGACUCCAUGAAGUCGGAAUCGCUAGUAAUCGUAAAUCAGAAUGUUACGGUGAAUACGUUCCCGGGCCUUGUACACACCGCCCGUCACACCAUGGGAGUGGGUUGCAAAAGAAGUAGAUAGCUUAACCUUCGGGAGGGCGUUUACCACUUUGUGAUUCAUGACUGGGGUGAAGUCGUAACAAGGUAAGCGUAGUGCU